rnacentral:rRNA from 1 species
UACGGAAGGCAGCAGUGGGGAAUAUUGCACAAUGGGCGAAAGCCUGAUGCAGCUAUGCCGCGUGUAUGAAGAAGGCCUUAGGGUUGUAAAGUACUUUCAUCGGGGAGGAAAAAACAAAACUAAUAAUUUUAUUUCUUGACGUUACCCGAAAAAGAAGCACCGGCUAACUCCGUGCCAGCAGCCGCGGUAAUACGGAGGGUGCUAGCGUUAAUCAGAAUUACUGGGCGUAAAGAGCACGUAGGUGGUUUUUUUAAGUCAGAUGUGAAAUCCCUGGGCUUAACCUGGAACUGCAUUUUGAAACUGAAAUACUAGAGUAUCGUAGAGGGAGGUAGAAUUCUAGGUGUAGCGGUGAAAUGCGUAGAUAUCUGGAGGAAUACCUGUGGCGAAAGCGGCCUCCUAAACGAACACUGACACUGAGGUGCGAAAGCGUGGGGAGCAAACAGGGAUUAGAUACC